CCUACGGGAGGCAGCAGUGAGGAAUAUUGGUCAAUGGGCGAGAGCCUGAACCAGCCAAGUCGCGUGAGGGACGACGGUCCUAUGGAUUGUAAACCUCUUUUGUCGGGGAACAAAUUCGCCCACGGGUGGGCGGCUGAGUGUACCCGACGAACAAGCAUCGGCUAACUCCGUGCCAGCAGCCGGGGUAAUCCGGAGGAUGCGAGCGUUAUCCGGAUUUAUUGGGUUAAAAGGGUGCGUAGGCGGACAGUCAAGUCAGCGGUAAAAAUGCGGGGCUAAACGCCGUACAGCCGUUGAAACUGGGAGACUUGAGUGGGGGAGAAGUAGGCGGAAUGCGUGGUGUAGCGGUGAAAUGCGUAGAUA
rnacentral:rRNA from 1 species